AGGAAUAAUAUGCGACGCGCUUGCUGGUUCCCUUCGCACGGCUGGCUUCUUAUCUCUCUCCUUAUCCUGUAUAUUAUAUAGCUUCCUCUAGAAACCCACAGCCCAGGACGAGUUUCUUGCCUAGCGCCCGGUACUGCUUAAUAACCUACUGAGACUUCUUUUCCUUAUGCCGGAUACAGGGAUACAGCUCCGAACUAAACUCUCCACUAAACUUUCGUCACCAACAACAAGAACUCGACUUUCUCCUUUACCUCGACUAGAAAGAGACUAUACUGAAGGAACAGACCUGCUUGCUGCUGACGAACUUUACCCUUUCACACUAUCAAAUAAUUGACAUUGAUAACGGAACUAAUAGAAUGGAAAACAAACACAUGAGUUCAGUGCAAGCAAGGAAAGGGUUGUCAGAGAACUGUGAUGCUGUAUAGCUAUAUGUAUCCGGGGAGUUGUAUCACCCAUGUUUUCAGCAAUGAGGAAAUAGAGAACAUCGCACAGAUAGGUUCUUCUUAUUACCUGUUAUAUGCCCAACGACUAUGAAAGUGUGAGCCUCCCUCUCGCCAACCCCUAUCGGUCUAUACUAGAAUAUUCUAAUAUAAUAAAUAGAAAUAGAAUACUCUAUUGCAAUUCAUUUAUCUCACUUGCUGCGCUUCAUCAUGUGCUUACGGAGUUGAGUUUAAGGCUGGAACAACAUCUUUUAUACUGGGUUAAGGCUUCAAAGCCAGUACACCAUUAAUGUAAAGGAAGCUGUAAACCCGUCUUUUCAACAAGAAAGAGAACCUGCCGAAACAGCACAAAGAAGCAAAUCCGGAUACGUAAGUAAACAGUACAGUAAACAAGGGGGGAAGCGAAGAGCCGAGCAAGAGGGUUAGUCUCUAUCUAUCAACAAUUCUUUCUUCUGUUCAAUGCCUUACGAGUUCCAAUCCUUGAGAAUGAUGCUUGCCAAUCACUCCUUGCCCUUAUGGAUGGAGCAUCUACCAGACUUGAUACUUCUUGAUACCCAGACUUGAUAGAAACGUUACUUUCUUCUCGCCGACCACGGAGCUCAAUCCUAAUCCUCUGUCUAAUAACCUCUGUCUGUCUAUAUGAGACUCCCUUCUUUAUUUAUUUUAUACUACACUUUCAUUUCGAACUGCAUCUUCAAAAAGGGGCCGCUCUUCCCCUUUUCCACCCUAUGGAUUGAGGAGAGGGGAGCCGCCUAUAUUAGUGAUUAAACUAAGAUGAUGUUAGGAGAGUUGUCACCCUAUUAUUCUGUUAUGUGUCCCAUCCCAUAAGGAGAGUUGUUAUGAACUGCUAUAAUAUGUCCCUAAGAUGAAGGGGGUAAUCUUGAUCAUAUAAAUAGUUGCUCCAUAUAUGAAAUCUAACCCGACCCUUUAUUCUUAUCUUAUGGCGGCGCUACCCUUUAUUCUUUCUUAUCUUAUGAAAUCUAACCCGAACCUUUAUUCUUAUCUUAUGAAUACUAAUGCUACCCUUUAUUCUGAUCUAGGUAAUUUCCAUGAAUGUUUGACUCGGUCCUGGGAGCUAGACUCAGGGCGUGAGGCGAGUUUGGUUUCUACUAGGUCAAUUCAAGAAUUCUAUGGAAAAGAUAGAGAUUCAAUAAAUUCCGUAUGGACUUCAGACUGAACAAGCUACGGAGGCAAAACAAAGUGCAUUAGAUUAGGAGUUGAGCAUCUGACCUUCUAACAAAAAAGAGUUAACCUCCAAAAGCAACAGAACAAGUAUCGGCAGAAGCAAACAAGUUCUUUGAAUAAAAGUCCAAGGAUAGGGGUAGAAACGAGAAAGAAUCAACGGCUGACUCUCAGUCCUAGGUCUAUCUAUGUUCUUAGGCUAAAUGCAUUAUAAAGAGAGUUUCAUUGAGGGGAGAUUAGCAAUUAAGGAGUGGAACAUAGGUUAACAACGUGAAAUAGGGCUGGGUUAACCGCCACGGUCUACUGAAAGAGGUGAUUGUGCUCUCGUAUCAAAUAAAGAAGAAAGAAUGCGACGCCCCUUUGAGAAUACCCACGUUAUCUCUUGUAAAUGCAGGUGGAAGAAGAUCAGGUGAAAUAGAAUCCGUUUUGAGUUUUCCGGAGAAUUCCCUUUGCGUCUAACCUCUCCUGCCGCGCCACAUUAUACUAAGCUUGGCCAUGCUUCUGUAUCAGUUUCAUUCAAUUGACUGGCAGCCCUGGGAAAAGUUGUUGAAUGAAUUGAGGACAAUAGAAAACUCUCUUGUCUGCUUGGCCAGGAGUUGAGUUUUGGAAACAGGAGUGAGGCUAGCAAUAUGAUAUUAGUUUCGUUCAUAUUCUAUUCCAUCUCUUUCUUGAGAGUCAAAUAAGCUGUGUUGCGCUAACGUGAGUUGAGCGUUAUUGCGUUUUCGAGUGAGUAAGGAGAGUGUGUUAUUUGACUGGAUUCUGUCAUUACCACUUCAAAAGCAUACAGUACAACAGAAAAGCAAACUACAGUGGAAAAGCAUACAGUACAGCGGAAAGUCAGAGCAAACUACAGCGGAAAAGAAGAGCAACAUGGCGCCCCCCAUUAGAAUUCGAACUUCAUGGUUUCAGUGUGGAGUUAAUCAAUUAAAUAAUGUGCUACUUAUUUUCAUUAAUGAAUGGAACAGCGCUAACAUGGGCAAGAAGUAACGUACUAUUAUAACAUAACAAGUAAGGACGGACAAGAAGUAACGUACUAUUAUAACAUAACAAGUAAGGACGUAUUUCUUUGGGUUCAGCUACAACAAAUACUUUCUCGGAAACUUUCCUUUUGCAGCUGUAGACUCAAUUCCCAUCUUUUACUGGUUUCGUUCCUGCCCUCUUCUUGCCUCAUUUGAAUACUUUCAAGCUCGGUUCCGUUCCUUAUGUGGGAACUUUUCUUAUCUCCAAUUCUUCCCCUUACACGAAAUAUGCUUUAAGCUCUUCCCUUAACCAUCUUCUGUUUCUGACUCUUCAUCUUGCUUGCUCUCUUCUGGGAUCCCCUUUCUUUCAUUGAGGUUUCCUAUCUUUGUUGUCUUAGGUUAGUUAUCUCUGCUCGAAAGGAGGUUACUGCCCGAGCCGAGUGAUACAGUUCCUUCUUCUGUGUAGGAGUACCUUUAUUGCAGUAACUAAGUAUUUUCAUAAAGAGUAAGUAUCCGCCUUUGCUAGGUCAAGUGUACCUCUAUUCUUUCCAAUCCUUAUUCCCUGCUGUAUUGGGGAAAUUCUCGUAUCUCGGUAUCUCUUCCCUAUUGUUAGCUUAAGGGAAGGUUCGACAAAGAGGGUAUGGGGCCCGGCCCCUUCUUGAUCCGCUUAAGAGCGCACACAAGACAAGACGUGAUUAUGCCCAUUAAGGUCCCCUAGUUAGGUAUCCGCUCUAAUGUACCUCUUAUUCCUAUUCUCUGACUUUUUCUCUAACUUAUACUAUGUAUGAUAGAUAGAAGACAGAUAUUCAUUAUACUAUGUAUGAUAGAUAGAAGACAGAUAUGAAGCUGGAAAAUAAGCAGUUAGGUAACAACAUUCUUUACCUGGUGCUCAAUAAGAUAGAUAUGCAAUUCCAGAUAUUCUACAGCUGAACUUGCUGCUGACGACUUAAUCGCUUCACCUUUUCUUCAUCGCUACACUGCAGAUUCGAUUUCUUUUGCUUCAGAUCAGGAAACGGAGCUCUUCUCUUACCCGGCCUCUUCUCCUUCUCUUUCAACAGCGGAAGAUACUUCUCAAGUUUCUGAUCUCGGAGACUACACUCGAAUAAGAACGGAACUUUGAGUGUGGACCCGCCAACAAAUACAGACGAAACUCCUGCUGGCAAUUCUCCACAGAACCUUGCUUCAACGCCCGUACUUGACUCUGCCCGGCCAGUACUUUAUUCUGAUCCUCCGCUUCUUCUUUUUCUGGAACUUCAACUCUCACUACUGGGGAUUCUUUUUCUUCUGAUCCUCGAACAGGCUUUCAGCACCUUACUUUAGAACUUGAACUACUCCUGACUCCUUUACUUAAAGAACAAAUAUCAGCACCCUUUAUAUUACUUACUCCCUUUCUAUUACUUACUCAAUAUCAGCACCCUUUAUAUUACUUACUCAAUAGGCUACUCAAUGAAAUACUUGACUGAGAGCAGAGUAGGCUAUCCGAACUCUCUUCACAGUAGAACAGUAACAGAGACCAUUGCUCGAAUUCCCUUAACUGAGAUUAAUCAAAUCAUAUAUAUCCCAUUCUUCCUUUUACGUCGUUUAACCUAUGGUAAACUAAUCCAAUUAGGAAUCACCCAUUUGGUAUGAAAUAAGUGAUUAUCCAUUUGAUGAGUUAACAGUCCUUCCACUUAGAGAAAUAAGCCUUCUUGCCCUGCCCUGAACCUUGAUUAUGACCUUUUAUGCAAAUGAGAGUAUCUUCAAGCAAGGGAACCAGCAAGCGAAGCGCAUCUGAACUGAAGCAUCGUAUCUUUCUGUUCGAGGUCAAAUGGAAAGUGUAGUUUCAAGCGUUAGUGAGCCCCGAGUAUAUAGAAGCAGGGUAAUUAGGGAACAAGAGCGAAUUCCAUUCAAUUCCACCAAGCAAAGGGUAGACCUAAAGCCCUAGUGCGCCGGGCAGUAACUAAAAUCAAGGGUGCCUAUACUUGACUCCUAAACUCGCUAACGCUUAUUGUGUUCCUUAGGGUCGUGGAAGCCUCCCUUUAUGGGGCGAUAAAUCAAUCCGCCUUUUCUGAAGCGAUUAGUACAUUAGCCUUCAUAUGAGUGGAACAGAGGUCUGGAGACGAGAAAGAAGUCGUUAAGCGGUUUCAAGGCAAGUAAGCGGGGCGGGAUAUCCGGUUUACAGCCCCGAGCCGAGAAGAAGGCUAAAGUCAGAGUUGAGUAGAAAGAGAAGGAUAAGAAGCUUAUGCCUGGGCGGGUCUGUCGAAAUCAAAGUGAGGGUGUUGAAGCAGAAGUGGAAGAAUAAGAAUCCCAAAAUGAAGGUUCAGUUCCAGUGUUGCGGUAAGGGUAAGAUCAUCUGUCUCAAGUGAGUCAACAGCAAGCGCUAAGGAAGCAGCAAUAUACGACAAAAGCAGAACUGGUCGACUUGUCUAGUAUUGGCGGAAUGAAAACUGCUUCCCUUUCUUUGGAAUCUGAUCCCACUUUCCAAUAAUGCUUCUAAUCUUUCUUAAGAUCCUUCUCCUUCUCUGGCUUAAGCUUCUUCCUUCUCAGGUCCUCUGCGCUUUCCUUCCUUUCUGGUUUUCUUGCGCCUACCUGCACUCUUCUGGAGGCGGGCUCUUAUUAGAUCAGUACCCGUUUGAGGUAAAGGGGUAGGGUCCUGUUUACCGAGUCGGGUGUACUUGAUUCAAUUCGAAAUCUCUUACCCAACCACCUUUUGGAUUUGAGUAAUGAGCGAGUGGUAUUUCUCUUUAGAAAGCUCUCUCUUACUAUGCUCCAAUUCUCCAUAAAGUAUAGGGUUUAUUAGUUUCCGUAAGUUAUUUAUCUCUCAUAGGAGUAUUAGCUGUUUUAAGUGGGCUACUCAGAUUCCUCACAUAUUUGUCCUAUAAUUUCAUUCGUCUGUGGUUGACUUGUUUCGAGUGUAUCUGUCUGAGGGAAUGUAUCUCUUAUGAAAGAGGUAUCUUCACGAGUGUUACAGUUCCUCAUCGUUUCUAGUCAAAUACUCCUUAGUUUUGGUAAGUUGUUUCAUUAAAGAGUUGGAAUCCGCCUCUCGAAGGUCUAUAGGCUCCCCCCGAAGAUAAAUGGUUGGUAUUCGUUGUGAAAAGGCAUGGCUAUUUGAAGUUUUAGGUAUUGGGCGUAUCAUGAUUGAUUUUUCCUAUAUAUGUCUGAUGCUUCUAUGAGCUGCUAAAGUACCCUAACCGACAAGCAAGCCACUUGUUUCUUUCGCCAAGUAUACAUAUCACAGGUUGAACUAUUACCCCCAAGUAUCUAUAUUACAGGUUGAACUAUUACCCUAUUUUGGCUAUUCCCUUCCACUGCCUUAUGCUUGUUUAGAGUGUCCUUUCCUCUGUAAGUUUCCCUCCUUCUUGUUUCCCCCCUUCUAUAUGUGAGUUCAAUGAUUUUAUUGACUGAUGACUUCAACACAAGCGUAAGCACUCUAACUGUGAGAUUACACUCGACCAGUCACUAUACAGUGUGGGUCCAAUAACUAUCUGGCAUUGAAUGAAGUUCAUUACUGUUAUCGGCGAGCGUUCUAAUCAUUCGUUUUUGCGUCCUUUUACCGAUGUUCAACUCAUUUGAUGAGAAAUUACCCACGACACCUAAGAUCAAGAGCGUAUCUUGCUUUCGAUGCCCUCUCCUUUCGUUUCCGCUUUCGCCAUCUCCUGUUGCUGAUCUGGCUUCAUAAUAAAUGACUUCAGACACUUAUAGGGCGAACCCUACGCUUUUUCUCUUGCUGGUGCUGUUGAACUCGCCCUCUCGUUGAGAAUCGCAUAAGGAGACUCCACUUUACGUUCAGACUGUUUUGUUGUUUGACCUGAUCCUUGAGCACAUCUUCUUAGAAAAUGCACUUUUGGAUUUCUCUCCCCCACUCGCUCCAUUUUAUCUCAUUGCUUCUUGUUAUAUUGGUGGAACGGAACCUUUCCUGUUUAUACUUAACAUAUUCUUAAGAUUCAUGUAUCGCUGACAGAGCACCUUUAGAAACCUGUAUCGCUUACAGAGCACCUUUAGAAACAAACUACAACAAAAGCUACCCCGCUUGUAUGCUAUGUCAAAAGUAGAAUGUUGAAAAAAGAGUAGAUAAUCCUAUAGUUGUGAAUUGUCGAAAUAGAAACCCUUGACUCCUACAUAACUCCUAAAGGAUUUCCAUAACAACAUUUGGGAUGUUCCCCAAAAACUAGCACAUUAAAUUAGAGAAAGAUAGCUAGAAAGAUGAGUUGAAUGAAGACAUUCCGCACGGAGUUAACGAAUAUAAGUAAAAAGUGGAAUCUGAAUGACUUUAUCGGUUGUAGCGGAACUCAGAGUGCUCAUAACUACCUUAAUUCUCUUAGUAAUAUAAUAAAGACGAAAUUCUCUCAGUAAUAAAGACGAGAUUCUCUCAGUAAUAAAGAGACUAUGGAAGAAGAUCAUCUGCUUGAGGAAGAACACAUAAGGGUAUCCAGCAAUCAAUCGGUUCCUAAAGUAGAGUGCGAAAGGGGAGUUCAGGAUCCGUAUCUUCCCGCGGGAUAAUAAGCUAGAUAAGUAGAAGAAGCGGGUGAGUGAAAUCCAUUAUUGGAAUGAAUUGUAGCUUGUGGACUUCUCUUGUGGACUUAUCUUCUGGAACUCAACUUCAAUGAAAGAAAACAUGCUAUUGUUCAUGUUCACGCCUCAGCGACUAAGGAAUUUGGAUCUAUACCGCAUAGUCGGCAACAGAGCAUGAAAACACCUGGACCGAGUGAAGCUGCUUGAAGGGAAAGUAAUAAGUAGUGAGUCAGAGCAAGUAGUGAGUCAGAGCGGGAAAGGGUCAUGUCAUCUUUAUAGGAUAGGCCGCUUUAGAACUUACGAUAGGGUCGGGUACCUCGAUUAAGGGAAGUAGGUGUGUUACAUGAGCAUAGUUGAGUUUCACCACAGACUGUUCAAUGACUAGAAAUCGGGUUGACAGUCCCGAGUAGUCGUUUUGUAUAGUUAUGGGCUUGACGUCCACGAGGAGAGGUGAUUGAUGGGCUUGCUUUUAGUUAGGGUAGUGGUCGACCAGAAGUUGGUAACCACAUCCUUUCACCGAUGUUCAACUUGGAGAAUUGCCUUAUUUCGCUCUAGCUCAAAGUACUUAAUACGAGUAUAUUAAAGCAAGGGAAGCAGUGAAAAAGAUCUGAAGAAAGAGAAUCAGAAAGAUCUGAAGCCGCAAGCGUUGGUGUUGCUCGAAAGUAAGUUCCAGUUAUCAAGUUGUCUCCGAGAGAAUCAUCCGCCCGUGAGUCGAGUUACAGAAGAAGAAGGAUCUGAUCGUGUUGUCGGUUCUUCAAAGUAGAGAAUAAUAAGAAAUUACAGGAUAUAAAGCUGGGUCAGAGUAAGAUGACAGGGGAUUAAUCGGCUAAAAGAGUUACUGUUGCUGUUGCGCUAACGGGAGCAAUAGGAUAGAGAAAAGAACAAGAUAUAAAAGAGCCAUUGAAAUAGAGAAAGUAUGAAUUCCACCUUAGGGAUAGAUCUAGCGGAUUGUAUUAUAGAUCUAGCGGAUUGUAUUAGUAGAAGUCCCAUGUGUUAAGCAAUGAUACAAUAGAUAACCCUUGUGGGGGGAACUCCUGGCUUCUCUCACUUGAACUAGGAACUCGAACUAACACGGGGUGUCGACAAUACUUUUCACUACUACCGGAAAGACUUAUACCCUAGCGCAUACAGGAAUCGUCUUUUGGACAACUUCUCAUAACAACCUCUCGCAACAGGGGAUCGAAUCACUGCUAAUAGGGUUAUAGCCCAAACCCGAUAACUCCACUAUUACCUUUAAGAUUAUAUAACCGGAAACUAAGGCUUUAGCUACUGAUCCGGGGUUUGGUGCCCCGAGGGGUAGUCCACAAAGAAUUCCACUUUAAGCUGGCUUCUCUACUUACUAUACCUCUCAAACUUAUACCAGCAAUCCUUCAAGGUAGGCUCACAAUUCACACUUUUCAAUUCCAUUAUGAUUUCUUGCAAGAGUACUAUAAGUCAACUAAUUCCAUUCUUAUGAGACCCCUCUCGAAACUAUACCUCUAGAAACUAUACCUCUUGCCACUCCUUCCCUAGCUACUUUCCUAGACUUUUAAAGAGAUAAUAACCUCAAAGAAUUCAAGCGAUAAGAAUUGGAAUUCAAGCCGGUUUUCUUCGUACUUUAUAGCUCAGCAGACUUCAUAGAAAAAGACUAUUAUGGAGUUUGAUACCUUCCCUGGGAGUCUGGCUUUACCUUUGUUGUCUACGAGUCCCUGUAGUUCCUUGUCGUAGCGUAGAGAAGUUAUUGGCUGUUGGGCUGGCUGGGUGCCAUAAUCAAGGUAGGUAUACAACUGUCCCGCUGUUGCUCCUUGCCUUAGAGUGGAAUAUGAUUGUAAUCUAGGUUCUGUUGCUAGUUUGCUUAAAGUUCUCAUUUAUGUGCUAGUUUGCUUAAAGUUCUCAUUGAUGCAGCUUCCUUUACGUUAAGCGUAGGUAAGAUGGCAUUCAAGCAGGGUUCAGGGCAGCAAGCUAUAAGUAAACCAUAGAUGGAGAGGAAGCGGAUUCCUAUUGAUCAUCAGCUGGAUAAAGAUUAGAAGCUCAAAAUGAUCAUUUGAGGAGCUUUUAGGAAGGGUUUAUAGGUCAUUUCCUACAAUGGAAGUUUCCCAUAGAUUCCACUUAGCAAAAGACCUUAUCAAGCGCUUAGCACUGAGGUAUCGUAUUAACAAGAAAGGCGAAAGUAGACGAUAACUCUCUGUUAGCGCAAAGGCUUGCUUGUUCCUAAGCGUGUUCCCUGCCUAAACACAAUAAACGUUAGCGCAAAGGCAACUGAACUAUAAGAAGCUAAAGAACAUGAACAAGAAGCAACAGAAUAUGAACAAGCUACAGAACAAGAAGAAGCUUAGGCAAUAGAGCAAUAAUCAAUAUUAACUCUUAUCCAGGACGAGGCUGCUCUCAAUCUUCUAUUCUUGAAGCAACAAGUCCCUAUUGCGCUAAGUACUGAGUUUUGGGUGUUAACGUACUAGUCCUAACCCUUUCUUUUCCGCCCUUUUGCGUUGUUGAGUUCUUUGCAUUAGCGCGUUUGUGCUUGGUUGGUUUCGGGUGCUGGAGCUUAUUGGAGUGGAGAGUGUCCGAUAUGAGUGAUUCCAGUAGUUAGUCAGCAGUUGGUUUACCAUCUUGAUUUAUAUGUCCCUAAGCAGUUAGCGGUGAGGAAGCUGUUCCAGUAUUAGUUUACGAGAUCUUAAGCUGUGCUUGUGGUAUCUGUUUGAAAGUGGUGCAGGAUAUGUAGCCUAAGAAUGGCCAGUGAAAGUUGUUUACCUUGCUGGUUCCUUUGCUCUUUGACUUUUGGAAUGUUAGUUCGCCUAAGCUGCUUGUUUGCCGGGACGUUACGGUGAGUUCCUGUUUUCAGCUUACGUUGAAUUCCAGUUUUCAGCGCCGAGUAAGUAGCCACAAAAGUUCUAAUGGGAGUUUUUCAAGGAAAUGUAGCAAUGCAGUCAGCUGUUUCUUUUUCCAGAAGAUAAGCAAAGAGGCCAGGCCAGGAGGAUGGAAAUGGAAAGCAAGUAAGGAGUCAGCAGGAGUAAGGAUAAGGAUCGAGUUUAGGGAAAGCAGAGAGUUCUCAGUUGGAUUAAUCUAUUAUAUGUAGGGUGCACUCCAAUUCUUUAAGGAAGGGAACAAGCCACAGAAGAGACCUGACCUCCCCAAUUUGGUACCGUACGCCUCCAGAAUCCACGCUCGCGCUUGAGGAGAGAAGAGACGAGAACUCAAGGAAGAGGAAGCUUGGUGCCCUUCGUACCUUCCAAUCAUCUUCCCCAGCUGUAGAACCCCAAGAAAAAGAAUGGCUAUAAGAAAACCCUCCGAAACACAACCCCCUAGCCGAUUAAAGAGGAAGCGGAAAGACGUAUUAAGUACCAUUUGGUAAAGGGGAUAAGAAUCGAAGAUCGAGACCAAUAGAAUAGAUGGUCUUAUCGAAAGAGGACAAAGGACGGCCAAGGACCAAGAAAAGUAUUUUAUUUAAAGUAAAGAAAGAAAAGAAGGAAUAGCGGGAUGCUAUAGAGAUGGAUGGCUAUGAGACUAGUGAAAAUAGUCCUUUUUAUACAAAGGUAUACUUCGACUUGUGGUAUCUCCCUUACUGAACUAAGAGAUAGCCUUAGCCCCCAAGAACUCACUUCGACGGCUGGGACACUUCCUUAAAGAAGAGAGUAAGUAUGGUUUAUCCUUCUGGGACACUUCCUACUGGAAUAAGUAUGGUUUAUCCUUUUAGAGGUAUGGGUUUGUUUGGAGGUUGACAGAGGGAUGAAAGCUCAGACUUGGGGGUUUCCCUUACGAAAGCACUCUAGUCAUUCUUGUUCGAGCUAAUGGGUGAUAGGUGUCACCGUUCUCCCUUCGAUCCUUCCUACUUGGCUGGCCCAUCCAGAGUGCGACUUUUUUGCUUUCUUUUCUUUUAUAGUAUGAGUAUGACUUUGUUUGCUUUCUUUAUAGUGAGCCCAGCCCGGCCCGUGAACAUCAAUUCAGAAAAGGCCGGGUAGAGGUCUAGUUCCUUCGUUGAUCGCCGCUUACUCUGUUUUCCUAACCACUCUUAUAGCCUAACGCUUACCCAAGAGUUCACUUACUCCGCUGCUUGGGAGAUCGGGGUCCCUUUCUCGUCUAUAGCUCUUAAACAAAGACGGAUUAGCGGCACGAUUCGUAUUAGCAUAGCAGACUUCUCUUCUUUCAAGCGGUUUCCCUCUUGUUACUGUUAAUUCCUAACAUAGCAGCUAUCUUUUCAGUCACACGUAGACCGAAGGUACUGGGCCCUUAUGGAACAGCUAUAAUUCAAUAGGCUUAAUUAGUUCUUCCCCUGGAUUCUUUCCUUACUUGACUCCCAGACUUUGUCACUCGCCGCAUCCUUUCCUUACCUUAGGUCCACUACAGCUUUUAAAUGGGUUACUACGGGUUCUAUCCUUUUGGUUCGACAUCCUGUCCAAACCCUUCUCAUCUUUAUCAUAAGAAGACUGCCAAUGCAUCUAUUCGCUUCCUCCCAGAACUCCUAACUCAUUGGUUAACUCGCUUUGUAUCUACCUUUCUUUUAUUCGGUACACUAAUGUUUUCUUUUCUUCGUUCGAAGGGCUCUAUCUUGGCCGUCCUAUUCUUGUCCAGUCAAUACUGAUUCUUUCGUUAAGAGUUCCGCGCUUUCCUUUCCUUCUUUGGGUGGUAUAAUAAGGUAAGAAAUCCGUUCUCUUCUUCGAGAAGAAGCCGCUUAUACCUUAUAAGAAGGAGUUAUCGGUUCACCAGUCGUAGUCGGGCAGACAUUGAUCGGUUCAUUGAGACCGGACUAGCAAAGGUGCGAAUCCUUUGACGCCAGAGGAAAAAAACUCCAUGGCAACUAAGGCGUAACGGCUUUCCGCCCUGCCUAGGAAACCUUCUGUGGAAUCGUCGAAUACUUAAAAGAGGCCCCGUCGUCUAGGACAGAGAGGCUGGCAGUAAGAAGGAAAAUGUCUCCUAACCCAAUCGAAGAGGUUCUUCUUAAGCUGCAUUUAUAUACAAUUAGCUUUCGUUCUUCCCAUCGAAAGUGUUUGUUUUUAUAUGAAAGCAACUUGAAACUGCUUGAAAAGGCUCUCAUGCUACUUUUAGGCAUCUAUUAUUUAGAUGAACAUAAACCUCCGAAGCAGAAGAUUGAUAAAGCACUCUGGGAUUAGUGUAGCUUAGAGUCUCCUUGUUAUCAGAUUACCUAAGUGAACGGCUCCGGACUCGCUAGCUGGAUGCAAAGAUCCGAUCCCCACUUGAACUAGAUAUAGAACAAUAUACCUCCAUGAAAACUCUAACCCUGCGGAAUGGUAACACUGAGCUGUCUUGCUUCUUCGACGAGAAUCCGACGUUCCCACCCCGCUAAGAAUCUUUGGAAAGUGAUGAAGCAGUGGCGCAGGGAUCGCCGUCGCCUCCGAUCUACGAAUCUUUGGAUUAGUUGUGGGGCGUAGUGGAACUCAUGAAUACUGAUUGAGUUUCCGCGAGACAAGGCCAAUGGAAAGAGCCCUACGGAGUCCCGGCAAGACAAAUAAGCGAUUAUUACUGUCAAGACAAAUCCGCUAUUAUUAAAGUAUAGUACCCGGAGCGUCAGUCCAGCUUAGUGAAAGAAGUGGCCUUACUCAAACGAUCGAACAAGUAAGACACCAGCAGCUAUGUUUUUUCACCGUCAGAGCACUGGGACCCAUCUUCUUUUCUUUCUUUGGAAGAGGACAGGUGCCCUUCCCGACACUCUCUUUGCUGCUCGGCGAUGGCGAUCAAGAAGGUAAGGAGGUCGUGAGGUCGACUAGACAGAAUAGGCUAGCGUAUCAAUCUCAAUAAGGCUCGAUAUAGACCUCUUCUUCUGCAUUCUUAUACUCGAAGAAAGUAGGCUCAAUCGGAGUAGUACUCUUUUCCACUACUGUACGAACCCAUAAGUGAGUGGUAGUGGUACAAACACCCAUUAGGCUCUCUUAGUGGGGCGGCCCCCUUUUCGAUCCGAUCCCUGUUCUCGCAAGAGUAGGAGCAGCAGGCCCUAAGCAGUGUUACGGGUUCAGUCAUGAAAAAGAAGUAGCUCGGAAGAUGGAUUUGAAACCCUUACCCUUGACACCCGAGGCUUCACUUCAUAUGGCUAGCCACCGCCUUCCAGGGAAGGUGAAUGAAGAAUAGAAUGAAUCCUUCUUUCGAGCGGGAACUCCAAAUCUUAUCAGAACUUAAGCUGGUGCUAUACUAAGACCUCUGCCCUACGCUGGUUACUCGCGAGCUCUUGCAGUUUCGUUUAUAGGAUAGGGACUGAGAAGGAGGAAAAGAUACAGAUGCACUCACUAACCACCUAAUUCGAAAAAAGGAGAAACAUAAGCCACCUAAUUAGAUAAAAGAAGAAACAUCGUCUUGGCUGGUGACAAAGAUAGCAAGGGGAGCAGGCAGUAUACGUCUUGGUAGGGUGAGCUAGGUAGGAGGAGCGAAUAGGAUGGGUCUUUACUUGAUGCUAUUCCCGCGUAUGAUUGAGCAAAAGCAGCACAGCGGAGGACUUUCAAUCCAAUUCAUAUGGCUCUGAGAAUAGUUUGGUGUACGAGCACUGCCCACCCCUCCAUCCAUCCUUUUGAAGACUUCUUUCUCUUCUGGCUUUAUUCUCUAGAAUUCUUUUGCAAUUCCUCUGAUUUUGCCUUUUCCGAUGUUGAUGUGAGGACCGGAAGGGAGAAAGAAUGAGUGAGUCCCAUAACCUCCAUCGAGAUCCAAUGGUAUAAAGUCUCAUUGUAUAGAAUCCCCGUUUUCCACGCAAGUAAGAAAAGAUUGACACCUAAUGAAUGGUUUGGUUAGAGUAACCAGUAAACCUUUGUGGUUCCCUAUACCAGUAAACAGAGGUUGCUUCUUUAAUGGUUUCGUUUCAUGGGAUCCCUUGCUUUGGUGGAACCGUGGACUCCUUAACGUGGUCUAACAAAGAGUUCGGCCUAAGAAGAAGGCAGGUUAGACAUCAUUCUGGUUAACCAUUACUCUAUUCUCGAGUUCUGACUUUCACUAAUGGACUCUAUGACCCUGCCCCAGUCAUUAUGAAGUUGAAUCACUCAGUGCAGAACCUUGAAGACGCAGUCUAAUCAUCCAUCCUUUCUCUGGAGCAAGCGUGUAAGAUUCGGGUUGAGGGCUACUCCAUGUUCCAAGUGGUCCAACGGUCAAAUAGGCGCUGAAAAGUGCGAACGUUACCACCUUUGGUAAAUAAUCAACGUCAAGAAAUGAAAGAUGAGCUGUACGAGAUCCAAACAAUUCUUGCGAAGGACCAAGGAAAUGAGCAAGCAAAGCAGCGAUGGUAUAUUAACUUAAUGCUAAUGCUAAAGCAGAGAAAGCAGGAUCAAAGGAAGCGAAGCUUUUGAAAAGGCCUUCGGUAUCAAUUGCCGGAUGAAUGAAGUGACAGCCAAAGAAAGGAAUGAAAUGCUAUAUUCAAUUGGCCUUCGCCCACCGCAACUCAGUGCUUAAAGAUAGGUUGAUUUACCUGCCGACGGAGACCUCCAUGCCAUCUUUGGCUCUUCUCUUUUCCGCUUUGACAUGACAUUAGCACAUUCCUUCUAAACCUUUGGCAUUGCACGAAUCACCUCUUUCGGAAUCGAAUCGAGCGGGGCCCACUUGAAAACUGUUGCUAUGGUCUCGCUAUGCUAAGCUAGCUUGGUGAAGAACGCGCCUAAAGCUACAAAGGCAAAGCACGUGGAAAAAGCUAUAAGAGAGGCCUUGAUAGUACGGUAACAAGUCGGUGGGGAAGGGCCCUGCUGAAUGGGGCAAAAGUGUUCCAAAUAGGAAAGUGAACGAUGCCUCGAUAUCUACCAAUGCAAAAGGAUCUUUAGGCCCGAUCACAAGGUCAAGAAAAAGGACUCCACUCAACCCACCCUAUUUGGUUUGAUUAUCUAUGGAAUUGAGAGUUCGCUUUAAUGCUAGCUUCACGGGUUUAUGUAAGUAGAUAAAGGCAAAUUCGCAAUAUAGCUUUAAGCUCAUAAAUGUCUUUGGAAGACCUGGCAUGAUUCCGACCGUCUGAAUUUGAAGACUAGUGUUCCCACUUUAUCAGCCUUUGGAUUGUCAAGCUAGUCAAACGAAGAAACCUUUGUGGUCUCCUACAGAUGUCAUGAACUACCUGCGAGGUAUGAAUGGCCAGAUUGAGAAUAUUGUUACGGAUAUGCAGUCGAUUAGAACGUUACCACUCCAGGAGGGCCGGGACAAUCUUGAAGUGUUUGCAAGGACCCCCACUCAAUCGGCUUUUUCAAGUUGGCUGCUGGCUCCACCUUCGAAAAAGGUUACAGGGCCUUCACUGCAACCAGGAGUUCCGAUCAAUUCCUUAGCUCUGACAUCCCAACACGCGGAGGCUUCCUCUUCAAAGGCCUAAACCUCCUAAAGUGUAGAAAGAGCUUUAUUACCCGCCCCCACAUUCAUUAGGGGCUUGACUCUACUCUUUGGCCCUUGCAUUUAACAGCUCCACGGUCAUAGCAUUUCCAUAGAAGUCCGUACCGAAUUCAAUCAAUAUCAUGGCUCUUAUACACAGAUCGGGGCAGUAAAGAAAGCGGGUGGGAUCAGGUUUAUGCGAGAAUACCAUGAAACCCAUUUGAGCCACAUCUGAAUCUAAUUAUGGAUGAGAGUAAGCUCCAGGAUCUCACGUUCUCCAUCAAAGAGAAACUCGUAAGGCUUAAACCGAAAGAGUAUGGUUCCAUAACUCUUUCUAAGUUCCUUUCGAAGCCAGUAAACUAGAAGCCCUUUAGAUAAGGGCCCGACCAACCCACUAUUACAUUAGACUCAAAAAAGCCCAUACAAAGUUAACACCUAGGAAGAAAAUGGCAUAUGCUCUUUGAUAAUGAAGAACCAGAGGACGGGGAAUGACGAGAGAAUUGAGCAUACCAUGACGUUGUUAGGAUCUCGGCCUAUAUUGCCCUGGCCGGUAAAUGCGCCGAGCCUCUAAAAUAUAUGUUAUUCCAUGACCCCCUGUUGGUCCUAUACAUCUUACCCGCUACCAGGAAAAGAAUUGCAAUAGCUAAAUGCUGGUGUGCAAUAUCGGUAAACCAUAGACCCCAAGUUCUGGAUCUAAUCCUCUGCGAAAAGUCAUAAAUGGCAAUUCAAGGUGCUAAAUUGGGUUGCUCCCUCGGCAUGGGAUAAAGUUGAGACAAAAGCUCCCGAUUCAAGAGAAAUUCAUGAGGAAGUGGAAUCUCUUUAGGAUCUACUCCAGCAUUUCUCAAUUGAUCAAUCGGUAAAGAAAGAUUGACUUGAUUACCUGCCCAAGAAAGAGACCAAACCCAGUCCUAGUAGCCCUGCGAAAUGGUGAUUCAACAUGGAUUCUACAUCUUUGAACCGCCUCUUACUCCUCUCUGCUAACUCUCAAUCAGGUGUUAAAGCCUAUAACUAUAUUAGUGAAAUACCGGUAACUAGACUAUUAAGUAUAAGAAUUAGAAUACAACAAGUACAUAGCAACCAAUUAAUACCGAUGAACAAAGCACUUGGCUCUUAUCUCUUAUUAUAGGAGAACACUAACUCGCAACCUAGACUAAACUCGCUAGCUCCUUUGCCAGCCUGCCUACCUCCCUCAUGCCAACACACCUUACCUUACUUUGUCUCCGGGUGGUUACCUUCGCUUAGUAGCAGAAUUAGAUACUUUGUAACUGUUGCUUGUUCCGAGUCAAUACUUUCUUAUCUUGCACACAUGGUAUAGAAGAGAAGGUUUUUAAAGACAUAGAGAGCUUAGCUUCCCUUUCUUAUGAAUCAGCCUGAACUUGAAUGCGAAGACUCAAACCUUUACCAACAAGACUCAUUGUAUAGAUAGGCAAGACUCUCAAGUGUUUUGUGCGAUAGUAGCAUCUUUAGUAUCUACCCCAUAUGGAGCCAGCGUCGCAGUUUAGCAUGGCGUGCCUAUCCGCUUGUGCUUUUAGUGGUUAUUCGAUUAACCACCCUAGAAAUCCAAAGAGUCUCCUUCCGAGUCAUAUUGUGUUGUGCCUGCAUUUGCAGUCUGCUUCGCUGAGCGCACUUCUUUCUUCUGGAGCGGAGCGGCGCAUACCAAGAGAACACUCAAGAGUUGAACCUUAGUACUCAAGUAUUCAAGUCAGUAGACUGCCCGCCCCCACACGUCUUAUCUUUUGGGAUUCCCUUUCUUUAUAGAAAAGUGCUUUCUCACUUACGGCGACCUACGAGUAUAUGCGCCUGAAUCUCCAAUCACAUAAUUUAGGUAAAGAAUGAUUUACACCCAACUGGUCAAUAACAGACCGAGACACUUAUGCUACGGAAGAUCCCCAAUUACAAUAUCAUUACCAAGGAGAGCAUAUAACGCUUGAAAACACGAUUAGGAUAGACCGCGCAGUACCACACAAUGAAGGAAGUGAUGGCAAAGAAGAGCGGCCAAGAAUCUAGGAAUCCCAAUGGUAGGCCGGGAGCAAAACGAAUGAGAUGGCUGGAAUCGAGUCGACGAUAAUCACAAGAGGUCUCUGCCAAGAGAGAGAGAAUACAUGAAUGCCAAGACCACACGCAAACGCUGUGAGCCGAUGAAACUUCGAUAAUAAGACCGAGGAAAGGAGUCAGUGUCCGACGAGAAAUCGAAAGAAAAGAGUGCAAUUCCAAUAUCUUCUGGACUGGAAUGGAAGAAUGGAAUUGAAGGGGUGGAACUCCAUUCUUUAAAUAAGUCAUUUACUUCUUCUUCUGGAAUGCCUUUUCUCUAUUCUAUGCUAGGUAUGGAAGUUGCUUUUACGAGGCCGGCCUUACUUGUGAUGAUAGUGUUGUAGAGUUUCGCUGUUAGGUUUGAAGGACAGUCCGCAAUGCUGCUAGUAAAUAAUCAAUAUAUUGGAAGUUUUGAAUUAGUCUGAGCACAGACCCAGACCUUAUAUCAUCUGUUAAUGGUUUCGCUCCCUGACUAGAUUAUUGCAAGCUGUUGGUUGCCCUACUAUAUUGUAGAUUAUUGCAAGCUGUUGGUUGCCCUACUAUAUUGCUCGUCUAAAUUCUCUUGUAAGGUAUCAAUAAGCUAAAGUCGUAUAUUUCACAAGUAAUACUCUAGCGGAGAAAGGAAUGAAGUCAAGACAACUGCUCUUAAAGAAGGGAGUUAAGUCAAGACAACUAACAGCUAUAGCAACGGUCUUUCCCUCUUAUAUCUAUCUUAUAUACUAGCUUAGGGCUUUCACCUUAUAUACUUGGUUAAGGCUUGAACAACUUCUUUUCGACUCGGUAAAGUCUCCCAUCUUGUAUACUCGGUAAAGUCUCCCAUCUUGUAUACUCGGUCAAAAGUGUCUCUUGUUUUGUUUUGUCUACUCGGUCCUGGUUUUGUCUACUAUAUUGCCUUGAAUGUGUGCCUAUCUUCCAUUCCUUAGAGAGCAAGUAAACAAGCUCCGGAACAAGUGCGUUAGUGAAUUCGGUAGCUCUGUUCACAAGCCCAACAGUAGUUGAUUGACAAAGGUAUAAAGUAACGUUAAAGUACAGUUCCAGUAUAAUAAGUAGCUGCCGUUUGGAAAGAUGCUAACCUUUCUUCUUUCUCUGGAGCCAGGCAAUAAUCAAAUAAGUAGUCUAGUUCCGGACUAUAAAUGAGUUGAGGGGAACAAGCAACGUUCCUAAGUGCGAACCUUUCUUUAGACGUUCCUAAGUGCGAACCUUUCUUUAUUCUCUAGGGUAUUGAUGCUACCGCUUGAUUCUCGUUUUCGGGUGCCUUGCCUUAGUAGUGUUUCACUCUUUGGUGACUUUCUUCUUUGGUGACUUUAUUAUAUCAGCACGCACUGUCCACGGACUGGCCUCUGUUAGGGAGGGGAAAUUCCAUAGAACCAAGCAAUGGAAUGAGCAACCCAAUAAUCCGCUUUACUUGUUUGUUGCGAAUAAAGAGCAAGCAAGGUGCAAGCCCACUUUCGUACUCCAGCUUACCUCCUUCAUGACUUUCGAAAUCAAUAUUUCCAUUCUUAUUGAUAUGCCCUGACGAGAUUAUCUUUUAAGUAGGCAGGCAAUAAUUCGAGUGUUAGUUAGCAUUGUGCCAAAGAAAAGAGACAUUGAUGAAAACAGCCCAGAAGACAGACGUCUAAUUCAGUGCUUAGCACUCAGCUUGCUCAGGGGUACGAAUGAAUUCCGUUGAGGCUCAGGCUCUAUACAAAGAUUCGGGGUGGAGCCUUAGAACACUUUGGACGGGACGGUUAGGAGCAUCAUUUCUGAACCACAAAUCCAGCUUGGCCAUAGGAAGAAGUUCGUGCUCAAAAGGAAAGAGAAAACCUCCUCCCACUUUGGAAUUGAACGUCUUACGGAUCUACAGCGGAUCGUAGAGUUAGAGAUUCCCAAUAUUGGACUUUCGUCUUUCUUUUCAAUCUCUAGUAAUAGUAAUCCCACGGCAUUGAUAGAAACCAUUUAUUAGAAAGCAUCAUCAUCAACUAACGCAGAUGAAACACUACUCAAUUACAACCAAUGGCACCUUCUUCUCGAAAAGAUAAGGCAGAUUCCAAGCUAGCUUAAUUGCGGGGGCUGGGCUCCCCGGAGGAGCUUGGAGCACUUUGCAUCAUCCAUCAAACUCCAUAAGCUUUGUUACCUUAGUUAGGAUUCGAUCCAUCCGAUAUCUAGGUACCAUAGAAUAGAGAAAUGCAGAAGCGGCGCUUAAUUCAAUGGUAGCCAUCAAUAUUCUAAUGUAGUUUCUCCUUCGGGUGGUCAUCAAUAUUCUAAUGUUGCUUUUCCUUCGGGGUUAAUAUUAUCCUUUAGCUUCUCCUUCGGGUGGUCAUCAAUAUUCUAAUGUUGCUUCUCUUUCGCUUCAGUUCAAGUUCACACGCCUCGUCCUUCCUGAAUUACCAACCACCUGAGGACCCUUAUUAGAUUAGGGACCGGAAGUUAGCCAUUCCCUAUACAUGAAUAAAUCCGCACACUCUCUCUUUUCUUUUAUGACUUGCCGAUCAUCUCAGUGAGAAGGACUUGGCUUGGGUUGAAGCUACGUGAUUAAUAUCUAUUUCUUUCAUGUAAGUAUUCUCUCUUUUCAUAUCUAUUUCUUUCAUGUAAGUAUUCUCUCUUUUCAUAUCUAUCAUCAGUAAAAGCCUUGGUAAGCACGGAUUGAAGACGACUUCUAGUUUUUUGCCUUGUCAAAGAAAAGGGAGUUUACUUAUUCAUACCGAGUCUUGUUGUUGGCAAGAUUCAUGAUGUGAUUCAGGCACACUUACUCCUGUGAUUCUAUGGUGAGAAGCUGUCCCGGAUGUGAUUCAGGCACACUUACUCCUGUGAUUCUAUGGUGGGCGGUAAUAGGGCCAUUUCCAUAAAUACUACUUAGAUUCAUACUAAACUACCAAUCUUUCAAUCUAUUUAUUAGCGAUAAUCGAGCUUUCCCCCCUUGCCAUACAGAUUGAUUUCGCUUUCCUGGCUCACUACUUCGACUUCUGAGUUCAAACUAUUCCUCAUACUACUAUUACUGCUAUGAUUUGCCCAUUCCCAGACUAAACAGAUUACAAAUAUUCAAAUAAUAGAAGCAUCUUAUCUCCAGGAACGCUACCAGGUUCGGGUAGUCCUGGAAAUAACUCUAUACGAGAACACUGAUCGGCGAGGGUACAGCACUUCUUUCUCUCCUUAUUUAGUUUAGUGCAGGAUCUCCGACUGGUCGAAAGCAAGCUAAUGCAACGGGCUUAUGUCAAGUAAGGGUACAAUCAUUUGGAUAACGCAAGGCAAGGAUUGAUUGGCCAGAGAGCGGCACAGCUAUAUGAUCUCCUAUUUGACCAUACGUACGGUCGACUCCACCACUGCGUAUUAGCUGCAAGACUUAUUGUCGGUACAUCUUAUCACCUCGAAGGAAGGGUAAACAGGCUCGAGAGAGUCAGAAAUAAGUUCUUGUGUUGCGAUAAGAGAAUAAGCGGGAUAAGGCAGGAUAAGCGGUUCAAAAGCUUGAAGCUCCAAGUCGAGUUUCGUUCGAGCAAGGAUCUCUCUCUGUGUUGGGAGUGCGUGAGCAGAGCAAGCAACUGUGUAAGGCCAAGCUACAACUAACGAGUCCUUUUUACACGUGUUGUGCUAAGGGUUACNNNNNNNNNNNNNNNNNNNNNNNNNNNNNNNNNNNNNNNNNNNNNNNNNNNNNNNNNNNNNNNNNNNNUCUCGGGGCAGCCUACUUAAAGUAGGUGUAAGUGAGUUUCCGGGGUGCUUACAUGAGUGACUAUCAUAGGGAGUUCCGCUGACUAAGUGCUAAUGCGAGUCUUUCCGCUUGGUAUAGUCAGCAGUGUGGUUCCGCUAUUAUAGGAAGAUGCUUGAUAGAUCAAAUUCCAGGCGUUAGUCUCGAGUCAGAGAGUUUGUGCCGAGUUACUUAAGCUUACUACGGAGUUAUGUCAAUUCCAGUUUGAAUGGAUUUCGCCUGUUCUUUUGCCUUUUACUAGUGUUAGCUAAAUUCCAUGAUUUAGAGCCAGCAGAAAGCAGUGAAGAGCCAGCAAUAACAGGUGUCAGGAAGCAAGGGAAGAAUAGGAAUAAUAAGAAUCGACUGAAUGCUCAAACGAUGAAGCCUUAGUGGUUCGGUGCUCUAGCUCUAAGUCUGCGAGAGAGGCCCCAAAAUAAGGACAAGAAAUAAGUGUUAUCCACACGCGAAUGCAAGUAAGUUACAAACAAUUCCUAAAGUGCAUCUGUGUCAAAGUUCGAAUUAUUGUCUUAGAGAAUAGAAUGGCCAGGGCCAUCCAGUUCUUGUAAAGUAUACUGGGUUCCGUUGUUGACGUCUUUGUAGUCUAGGAGACCUUAUCUAAUGUGGUAAGCGGGACAGUCAGACUAACUAACGUCCUCCGCUCCAAUAAGUUAACGCGAUGCGAGUAGAAUCAGAGUGGAAUCCAGAAGAUGAUCUCCGUCGGCAAGGGAAGCAGUUAGGUAUAUCGGUGUUGUAGAAAGUCAGUCAGCAACAAGUGGUGGUGUUGGCUUAGAGAAUGAAUCAGCGGUGCGAUAUCUAGGAGUUGGCUUACAUUCAUAUCCGAUAUAGGAAGAGUCUAAAGCAGAUGCAGUGCGGGUACAGUAGCUUUCGGAGUGUCUCUAAUUUAUAUGAAUCUAGAGAUUAUUCUUUUGAUGAACUUCAAUUGGCUUGCUUCUGUAUAGCUCACAGGUUUGAGUGUUUUUGCCUUAUAGUUAUUGUGUCAGAGUGUUAUCUAGGUUCGGUGAUUGGCUUUACCUUAGCUUAGUUGUCGUAUCUAGAGUAUUUAUAGCUCAGCUCGGUUAAGUAUAAAGAAGAGAAUGAAGCUAUCCUUUCCUAGCCUAGGAACAGCUCAAUAGGGGUUCUUCAGCGUGUAGACACAGAAAAUAAGUAAUCAUAUCGCAUUGCUGAAUUGCCAGUAGUUUCUCCAUCAUCAGCCGGGUACGCAGCAAAGGUCUCUGUUUCAUGAUCCACUUCUUCAGCGCCCAGCCCUUGAACAUGAGUGAAAGUCAAGAUGAUAAAGAUGGGUUUACUGCCGCGGUGUCUACUGAAGUCAAGAUAGGUUCCAGUUUUGGUGCAAGAGAAGGAGAAAGUCAAGUCAAUCCAACCUUUAGUUAAUGCGCUAAAAGUCAAGUUCAAAAGUGAAGUAUGGAGAACAAGUGUGUUAGGAGUUAAGUUCCCAAGAUAGGUCUGUCUGUCUGUCUUAAUUAGUUCAUCGAGCUAAGCUAGCAAACUCAAGCUGCAAAUCAUAGCAACUAGCGCCGAGUCAAACAGUAAUGGAAGUUGAAUCUCUAUCUUUUUCAUAUAAAUAAGGUCCCCUUCUUUUGAAUAUAAAUAAGGAAUGGAGGAGCUCACUGACCCUAACAGUAAACUAACGCGAGCAGCUCAUCUCUAAACUCAUGAAUUUCAAGACAACUUAAUCACAUACUUACUAUACUUAAAGACUUAGUACCCGAGACGCGUGCUGUUGAUUGACUUGCGGAUUCCAUUUAUCUAGGUUCUUUAUUUACUACCUAUUACAAUUCCUGUUUUCGGCAGACAAGGUGGUAUCAAUGUAUCUGGUUGUUCCCCGAAAGUCAGCUAAAUAGGGACACCAUGGAAAGUCAGCUAUACUGGAAGAAAGUCAGCUAUAUAUGGAUGGGCACCCGGGGGAGAGUUAGUUCACUGACACCCACUGAUAUCAAAAAGUCACUGGUAACAUCCGUAACAGCAAGCAAGGGUUAAGGUGAGCUCCCGAUGGAGUCAGUGCUAAACGAAUCCAAUAUGGAGUUUUCAAGGAAAAAGGUGAAGGCUAAAGUCCGGUAAUAAGAACUUCAAGUGUUUUUGGUUGAGGCAGAAUCCAUUCUUGCUGAAGCGCUAAGGAGUCCAGACUUAUAUACACGCUUACACCUCUGGAACAAAUAAAGAUGUUAGAGGAAAAAUGCAUUGUCCUUUAUUCGUGGCCUCUCUUUGCUUUUGUUGAGGAGUUGAACGGAGGCAUAUAGGUGUUACGAUGCAAAAGGAACUGAUUUACUGCUUCACCAAGCACAUUGAUAUUAGCAACUGGGCGUUGAAGCCCUAAGUCAAGAAGAAUACGAGUGGAGUUAAGAGUAUACGAGUUCGGGUGCUUUACUUUCCAAGUAUAAAGAAGAAGAUCUCGAAUGGCCUGGAAAGCAAGGUAAAAGUGAUACAACAUAUUUUGGUUAUGAAAGGGGAGUGAACCUUUUGAAUUGAAGAAUGGAGUUUCGAAUGCUCAUCUGCAGAAGUUAGCAGAGAAGAUACCCAUGUACCGUUGUCACUUCCUUUUAUUAUGGUUGUGGUAAGUGGUAAGUAAAGGAAAGGUUCGGUUCAGUUCCAAGAAAGUAUACAUCGAUAACAGAAUCAUAAGUGAAAGUUUCAAGAUCAAAAGCAGUUCCCGAAACCUGCCAUUGAAGACCCAGUAAGUAAAGCUCUGAUAUGGCAUUGACGCCUAGAAAUAGAUCCAAGUUCCUAGGUGUACUCAAUGAAACAAGCAAGGCAAUGGAAUCUAUCGUAUCGAGCAUCUGGUAGAGAACUUAACAGAGUUAAGACCAACCAUCCCUUCCCUUUGAUUUGGCCGACCUGACCUCUUCUAGAAGUCCAUUAUUUGAAUAUCUCUCUUAUUGAGCACCAGAUAUAGAAGCUUGUAAAACCACACCAUACCUUUCAAGUGGAACUACCACUGAUUCCCCUGAAACAGCUUAUUAGGAAAAGAAUCAACUCUCACAGGAACUGUACAUUCUCAUCUCACUCGACUUGCGGAACUGCUGACAGCUUACUCUUUUCUUUAACCGCUGACUACUCUCUGGACUUAGAUCCAAGAACUUAUCUUCUCAGAACCCUCACCUAUGAUUCUCUAACUGUUGAUGACACUAGCACCAAACCUAUCUCCACAGGAUUUCCUUCCCGCGCGCAACAAGAACAGUACGGUCAACCCUAAACAAUACUUGAAACGAAACUUGAUACUGGACCUAAACAAGAAACAUCAUUUCCUCGUACUGCCGAAGAUCCAGAUCCAUCGCCUGUCCGGCCAACAAGGUGUUAGGAGACAAGAACUUUCAUAGCAGCUCACUUUCUUUCUGAACCAACAACAUUCGAGCCUGAUACUGAAGCGGAAGAUUUGAUUCCUGGCAAAAAGAAUCUAUUGAGUCUUGACUUGAGAGUCGAGUGCAGAAGUUAGUCUAGGAGAGAAAAUUGUUGUAAUGGAAUCCUUCCUUUCGAGUGGCGAGGAAAACUGUAGCUGUAAAUCAGUCCAUUCUCUAAGACAAACGGAUUAAAGUAGAACAGAAACGGAGUUGCCUUUCUUUGCUUUUGUAGUACUGACUUGUCCUCAUCUGACCCGGAACCCAUCUGGAUUUCCCGCUUCCUUGAUUCUUAACCACCAUGUAGGCAGAUGAAACUAAGGUAAAGCGCCAAUCACCUCUUUCUACAACAAGGGAAGGAGCUAAUUGAAUCUCUCUCUACGACAACUAAGGGAAAGCCAAAGAGACUCCACUGAUGUACACCACGAUAGUUGCAGAAGCCAAUAAUCUAGGUAAACGGAUUGCCCCGCUUACGCUCUACGCUCGGCUGUAUACGAGUUCCUUCGAAAGUUGUGGUAUAAGCUCUGCGUCGAUUAUACGAGUUCCUUCGAAAGUUGUGGUAUAAGCUCUGCGUUGAUAAAGUCUCAAUCAAGUAAGUCGAUAAAGUAAGUUGCAAUGACAUUCUUGUGUAAUCCUAGUGCCUAGUUUCAUCGCAAGUUUCAUCGUAGAUAAAUGCUCAUCUCUACAGCGUCGGUAAAGUACAAAGGUUCCUGCGGCCAAGCCAAGAUAACAAGUAGAUCUCGCCCAUACUAAAAUCCAAGAAAUAGAACAGGAAAGUAUCGGUUUCAAACAAGGCCAAGUAACUACGCAACAAGUCGACUUCUGUCUUCAUCGCCUGUCUGAAUCGGCAUGAGCGUACUAACCGAGGUGCUUAUAUAUGAGUGAAUAAAUCCAUAUGUAUGCUCUGUAAUAUUCAUGUUGUAUAUGCUAUGCAAGAAAGAUGGAAUUAAAGGAAGAAGCGAGGGAACCAUAAGUGGAAGUGAGCAAUGCUCUGUUUUUACUAGACUCCAUAAGUGGCGCACUCUAAUAUGGGAUUUUUAGUCCCCUACUGGAUUUUGAUACUGUUCGUGGUUUCUUUUGAUACUGUUCCCAGAUACUUAACUGCUUAUACAUCUUAUGCUUAUAAUAAUCCAGCUUCAGAUCCAGAUCUCGUCGACAAAGCAAGAAAGGUCUGGUCUCUUGCAUACGAAAACAAAGAACAAAGAAAGUCGCCUAUUCUCUGCUAUUAAUGGAUACUACUUUAUAUGUUGGUUAAGAAUUCUAUUAGUUAAUACUAUUUUCUCUAUUACCUAUUGUUCAUAUACUGGAUUUAAGGGAAAAGAGUCUCCUUACCAUUAUUUUCUAUAUCAAACCAUGUUCUCUUUCUCUCAAGUAAUAAUGAAUUUCGUCCAUAUCUAACUCGCCUAUCCAAGAGGAAGGAGUGCACCUAUAUACUUCUACGCCCUCAUAAUAUAAUGAAUUGCUUAUAGGUCAUUUCUGAUUUCUGUGAUCAAAGGAAGCGAAUAAAUUGUUGUUGUCUUUGCUAGCUCUUUCUGCGCGUAAUCCCGUGAUAAGAGGUGGUUAGGCAUAACAUAAUAAGAAGUUUAUGCUCGCUUAAAAGCAGAGGGGAUAAUCAAACGAAUAGGAUGAUAGCACCAGAUUAGCUUUCCGCAAUGAUCUGUCUAGAGUUAUUCUCAAAAAGAACUGAAAGACUAGCGGCACUUAUUCCUAUUCUAUUCGAUAGUGAUUGGUUUGACCUUAACAGCCUUAUAUUAUUCAAUUUGCAGUUGACUCUUUCUCAACAGGGCAUUAUAGUGGCACUGUAACAACCCAUUCAAAGGAGAGAGUCCCGCAACAUCUGUAAAAGAAAGAAAAGAACCAUUGGCCAGCAAAAGGAAGAACAUGGUAGUAGCUUCGCCCCUUGAAUCACGUAUAUAUUCUUUGAUCGUGGUAGAGACUAGAAAACCUUAUUCUUCUCCUGGGAUAACCAAAGGUAGUGCUUGAAGACGAAUACCAAUCCGGGGAAUUCCAUUGGAUCAUACCUCGCUAUGAAAGGCAUCCUAGAAGCAGUAAAGCUCACUUGAACGUGCUAGAAGCAGUAAAGUUGACUGGAACGCGUGUCGAAAUUGACUAUUGUUGUUAUGUUAGGGGCUUUUGCCCAGGAGUUAGUGCACAGAUAGGUGAUAGAGGCUUCUCAUAUUCCCGCUUGUGAUAACGAAUCAAUCGCCCUUUAUCUAAACUUUCGAAAAGAUAGAUCCUAUUACACAGGUCUAGUGAACAAGUCUGCUACAGGCAAUUCUGCUAACCUUUUCUCAAAAUGUCUUAAAUAAGAGAAGAAAGCCUCACCUCAGAACGAAAGAAGGAGCAAGCAGAACUUGCGUAAGAUAGAAAGAUAGAUGAUCCGCCUAAAAAAGGGGACCUACUCUCUUUUCGAAAUCCAAUCAAUAGUCCGUUCCAGUCUAACUAGAUUCCUCCCUUUCACCUUUCAGUCGAUUAAGCAAUUGAUCUAGUCGUUGAUGUUGCUGGUUAUUCUUAUGAUUCCCGUCCCGGCCACCACCUUUUUAUUGCCAAUAUGGAUCCAUAAUCAUGGCCGGUUAGCUACUGAGAUAGCGUGGCUAUUGAUGGGUGUUGAAUGAUUCUUGAUAACGUGUGGUCUAGAGCUAACAUGGAUUCAGUUGGGGUAGAGGUCUUGUAGAGCCUGAUUGCCCAGUUUCCCUGAUGAAGAAGAAAAGAACUCCACUUUGCCAAAGACAUAUGAGGCAUACUCAGAUGAGUCUUCGGGUCCAGAAGGUUAUUAUACCUCCUAAAUAGGACUCAUUGUGUAGAUCUAGCUUAUGACUCUAUUAGAUAGACGAUGCUAAGAUAAUCCAGUUAUAGACGAUGCUAAGAUAAUUCUGUUCUCUAACGUUAACUAAGAAGACUAUCAGAGGAGAAGUCGACUCAUGUACUCUAUCUACGAAACUUGCCGUGCCUUUCUCGUUGGGGAUAAGAUUAUUGAUGUCGAGUGGUUUAGUAUAUAAGAUAAAGGCUGCUUUUAGGAGUGAUCUUUCUUGACUUCGGAGUAGAAUAGGUGCAAGGGAGGAUACUCGAAAUCUAAUAAGAGAAGAAAGUCAUCGAUUUACAAGGACCAACGACGAUGAGAGAAGAGAAGGGCCAAGCAACGACUCUAGCUCCUCUCCUGUUAGCGCACUAGUUUGAGUUGGGCCUGUUGAGUCUGAAGUCAACUAAUAAUUCCAUCUAUCUUGGGCAUUUAGUCAUGAAGAUUGCCCUCACUCCCUAAACAUAGACCGGAUAGUCCCAUACAUGAUUUCUCUGAACUUGACUUUAGCACAGCUUCUUUAUACGAUGAAACAUACUCUGGCGCCUUAAUCGCUACGUGGGCAGUUUAGAUGGGCAAGAGAAAGAAAAGAGUAUAUCUUCUAUUUGCCGGAGAAAAGAGCAUAUUUUCUACUCUUCAAUAGGAUCAAAGUAGAACCUGGGCGAACAGACUCAUCGACAACACCAACUUAUGAAACGGAAACGGACCCGAUAGCUGCUCCCGUUCGUGCACCUGUACUUCAUUAUUUAGAAUAACUAUACUUUUCCCUCCCGCUUCGCUUGCUGCUGACUUAACCUGACCUGACAAGUGCCAACACCGAUUCAAGUCGAACUGAGCUUGCUAACGCUUAAGCAGUUAAGCAUUCUGUCUGAUCUGAUUCUUUAUAUGAUGAAACUCGAGCGGAACUUGAAGAACCAACUAACCCCACUUACUACAUAAAGUGACCUGAACUUCACUUUCGAACAGAAACAUCAUUUCAUCCCGCCGCUUCUUCUCGAGUCGACGAAACGGGUACUUCGGAUUCUUAUACUGUUCCUUGAUAGCGCACAGCAGGAUUCUCGGCUUCAACUUCAAGUCAAACAAAAUAAUAUCCAUCUUUGACAUAUCUCUUAUAGGAAUUGAAACAACUCUCCUUUAUGAACAGCUUGCAACAUUUCUCACUCCUUUAUUUAGAUGAUGCACGACGUCUUUUCCGAACAAUACUUGCUUGAAGGGAACUUCCCGCGCGCAACAAUCACUACACUUGAAGAAAUAACGCCCAAACUCAUCGUAAGCGCUCACUCACUGGCGCACAAGUCAAAGCUGGAAUUUCCACUCAAGGAAUUGACCCAGAAAACUCUACUUUACCAGCAUUAACUAUAAGGGGCAAACUCGACUGUUGGGCACUUUACUAAUCUCUAUACUAUACCAUGUGUUACUUAUCUCAAGUUGUCAUUGAAUGAAAAAGAUGAUUGAGCUCCCGUUAGCGCUUCAAAGCCAAUAAGAUAUUCUUCUCAAAUAUGAUUACCCGAACCUCACUCUCCUCUUGACACUAGCUGCCCUCCCGACCCGACCUAAACAAAUACAGAAUUCCACUCACAAGCAGGUAAGAUAGAAUCCAUCCAAUCCGGUAACACUGAGCCUAGUACUCUUUCUCUAAAGUAGGAAGGAAAGUGAGAAUUCAACCAGUUAGUAUAAGAAUGAACCGGGUGUUUAAUAAGUAGUGGUGGACAAGCUGCCCUAAAGUUAAUGGUUAGAGUUUCAGACAGGUAGCCAAGAGUUCAAUCAAUAGUUUCAAUAAGUAUUUGGUUAGAGUUUCAGACAGGUAGCCAAGAGUUCAAUAAGUAUCGAGUUGACUCCCCGUUAGAUGACCCUGAGUUCAAAGGGACGAGGUGAAGUAGAAAGGAAGUCGGCAGAUGUAGUGACAGUAGCUUACUUGUCUAUCCGUUCCUUGGCCGUUAUGACUCAUACUUACUUUAGCCAUGAACACAGGACUCGCUCAUAACUUAACUACGGACACCGGACUAACGCACAACCACUCCAUGUUUGUCCUGAAGCUUUACUGACGCUAGAACAAAACUCCUUUAUACAGCUUCGGCAUUCGGCAGAGGUAAGAAACCAGAUGUCGGUAAUUAUACCAUAUAUCGGAGUUGCUAAGGUUAGCUUGUUGGAUUCAAGGUAAACCCUAUCUGCCCUAAACCAUACUGAUAGUGCUAUAUGACCCAUUCCAAUCUCUAAGUUUAUUCAAAGUAGGUUACCUUCUUCGCAGCGUGGAACAAAACGAAUUCAGUUUCCUCAGAGCCGAGCCUGUAGUUGAUCAUUCCAUUCGAAAUUCCUUAUUUGUAGAAAGAGCAACCAAGCAACAGUAGCAAGAGUUAUAGGAGUAGGAGCCAUUCCAUUCUAUAUUUGCUACAUUUCCAUUCCAUAUUUGCUAUAAAAGAUCAGAAUUCAUUUAGUGUAGAUUAAACUCGGGAAAGCCUUGAACUAAUUAGUUGCCAGAGUUCGAAUAGCCUAACUAUGUUAUUAAAGAAAGAUUCACCUCGGUGCUGUGGUUGCUUGUGGUUGCUUGGCCGGUAUUCAACAAUAACAUUCCUUCCCAGGCGAGGCGGGGAUUCAAGUAUGCUUCUGUCCUUUCCUCUAGCUAUUUCUGUUAUUCGUUUAGCUAUUUCUUUUAUUCGUUUCGUAUGCUUCUGUCCUUUCCUUUAUUAUAUUAAAGUAGGGUACCCGGUAGUAGUAGUUUCUUGUCCGUCUUACUUAGUAGCUUGGUUAUCCGUGUCUUUGUCUGUUCGGUGCUUUAUCUGUCUACUUGCUAUGUGUUUGCAGGAUAGAUAGCCGGUAUUGAACUACUGAAGAGAGGAAUAGAGUUGACUGAACACUAGCCAUAGAAUCCCCAGGUAAAGUGAUCGAGAUAUCGGACUAUUUCGUGAUAUCGGACUGUUUAUUAGUGGGAUAUCUUACUUUAUCGUUAUAUCAGACUUGGAAGAUCUGACUGCCAAGUAGACCAAUAAGGGAGGGAAGAGUGAAAGAGCUGGGAGUAAGCCUCGGUUAGGUCUUAGAAAUAGUUCUUUUUGUUCUGUUGAGAGUUCAGUUUGUUUUGAGAGAGCACUGGGAAAGCGUUUAGUCUCCUUUAAGCAUCUAAGCUCUUAACUCCAUACUCCAUACCUGGCUAAGCAUCAUAAGGUAUCUUCUCUCCCUAUGACCAGUUUAGCUCCUACCGCGUAACAAAGGAAUUUGAAAGAAAUAUUUCUCAUUAAAGGAAUUUGACAGAAAAAACUUUCUCAUUGGACCCGUAGCGACCACUAUGUAGGAACAUGCAUGGAAGCGGCUUUCUUUUGAUUAGAAGUGUUGCUUAUAAGUUGGAGUUAAGGGAGCUGUUCUCCUAUUAUUGAGAUUAGAGAUGGAUGGAAAGAAAGUGGUUGAUAACGACAUAGAGAGAACGGAAUUAAGGGAGCUGUUUUCCUAUUAUUGGGUGGGAUUAGAGCGAGAUUAGAGCAAGGAUGAAAUCCGUGUUUGAUAACGAGAAAGAUAGAACGAUGUAGAUUGGAGCAGGCGAUAUAGAUUAGAGAUGGAUAGAAAUAGGGGAUAGUAGGAUGGAUUGCUAGAUGGAAAUAAGGGUUUGAUAGUAGGAUGGAUUGCUGGAUGGAAAUAAGUGUUUGAUAGUCGGUUGGUUGCUGGAUGGAAAUAAGUGUUUAUAGUAGCAUGGACUUUGCAUCCAAAAAGGAAGAAUGCUUGAUUACCCAUAUGGAAAUAGUAGUCAAACCUGGCACAUUAAGGGUGAAGAAAGGAACGAGGGAAGAAUGCUUUAUACCACCACUAUACCACUAUCGGAAAGGAGCGAGUAAGUCCAAGAAUCAAAGCAGUAAGAAAGUAGUCUACUUGUUCUGAAGCGGGAAGGAAAGAAAGCCUUAAUAAGUCAGGGCGGAAUGAACUACGGAGAAGAAUGAAUCUAAGGCCAUUUCCUCAUUGUUUAACACAAGCACCUAAACCUGUCUCUGCAGAGGUAAACUAAGGGCCCUUACUAUCAUUUCUGCCAAUAAGCCAAUGCACCCGAGGAGUCGUUAACUGUUAUUUGUCUAGUUGCUUGGUCACUUAUAUUGUUUUAAUGAAUCAAUCCUUUCUUUCUGCUCGAGCUCCAUCAUGUACUAUAAACCUAAGACAAAGUACUAUAACCCUAAGACAAUGAAUUCUCAAUAAUAUAGAAGAUCGGUCUUACAUUAUAAGAAAAGAUAGAUCGGCUAAGUCUGACAUUCUCCUUAUUACCCUCGAUUCCCCAGAAUAUAAAUUAUUGUAUAUUGAAGUAACCGCAGAGAUGCAUUUUGAUUAGCCUUAUUGACUCGUUAUUACCUUGACUUUGAUUCACUUAUUGACUCGUUAUUACCUUUACGUGAGUAAGGAAAGGAGGUAAAUGACUUGAUUCUAUAAUGGGUGCACUCAAUUGAAAAAGCACUCAUUGACGCUAUAGGGCUCAUACGAAACUUGUAUAACGGGGUCUAUGCCACUGCCUCUGUCCUAACCUAAUUCAUAGUGUUGGAUUCAGCUGUCUCUGUCCUUUAGUUUUUAAAAGCAAAUCCAAUAAGCUUUUCUAAUCAAAAGCAAAUAUCUCCUUAAAAGAAAAAGAAAGAUCAGAUAGAUAAACAAAAGAAGGAAGUGAGCAAGCGCUGUAACCGAGAAAAGAGUGCAUGCUCAUUAGGCCCCGACCGCCCCUAGCUUUCGUAACCCGUGCUUGAUGCCAAAGUUUGAUACGUCGCCACCACUUCGACCCGGCACAGGCAAACAGUAGCUUCCCUUAACUAAAGCAUGGAACCUCAUACACCAUAAGAUUUUCUAAAUAACAUAUUAUCAUUGUGAGGAAAUCCGUUUCGACGACAGUAACAAAGUAGGAAUGCUGACCCCGACUAACAAGACAGAAGGUAAAUAAUCGAUCAAUUAGAUUGAAGUCCUUUUAUUGAGUAUUCGUUUUUGAAUAUGCUUGGCUUCCAUUGCAUCACACCUACGAUAAAGAAAGGCGGGGAAGGCUUUAUUAAAGAGUCAAAACAAAUUGAUGCAGGCGCCACAUAAAUAGAAAGCAUGUAAAUAGAAAAUGUGCACACUUAGUGAGAAAAGGAAAAAGCAUGAAAACAGAUCCAAACUAUGAGUAAGGAACUGACUUACUGCUUGGCCCACUAAGGGUUACAGAGGAGGAUGCUGUUUAGGGAUGAUUGCAGGAGGAUUUAGUUUAGGGAUGAUUGCUCUUUAAUCCGUCCCUUCCUUACUUCACAAAAUAACUAAUUCCCUAACUCUGAGAAAGCGAGUCUUGUCUUCUUGCGCCGCUCUUCCAGAAUCCAUUCGGGUGGGCCAAACAAGGAAGGCCGUGGAUACACCACUGAAUCGGUCGGGCAGAGAGGUGGUAACCGUGAAACUCCUUUUUUUGAAUCAAAAGGGAUGGUCUUACUUGUUCAAGACAGAGAGCAAUUCCAUUGAAACCAUUUACUGUCUUAAAAAACGAAGUGCUAUUCUUUCUUCUCCAGCCCCUCAGGUAAAGAACAACUAUGUUAUUAGGCUCAAAUGCAUCAGAAGCACCAUUUCCUCAUGAAAACUCAUAUGUGACAAGUAUAUUAUAGAUAGUACUAAAGUAUUAUAGAUAGUACUACUGAAAACCACCCAUGUGAAACAGAGCUAAUGGCCUGCCUGCUUUUAAGCUUGACAGAUAAGGACUUCUUGAAGAGGAAGAGGCAUUGCAAAUCAAUCUUACUGUGUACCGACCCAUUAAGGAUCGUUGAGUUACAUUGGUUGCCUGCCGGUUGCAGAUGAGAUGUUGUUGACUCGGGCAGAGGGACUUCUACACCUUAAGCAGCCUUUCUAUUAACCACAGGAAAGGGUAAGAAAUGACAACGAUUCUAAUAGAGCGGGCCCCCUCUUUUCAUGUCAUUUGUAAGCGUAAGCGCGAAAGAAUGUUGUUGUAGAUAACUGUGCCACUAUGAAUGAUUCAAUUAAGAUGUAAUAUGUUAUAGAUUAUUCCAAAUUAUAUCAUAUGUAUCUCGUCCAUUAUAAGAAAAAGAUGUAAUAUGUUCAUAGAAUAGAUUAUUCCAAAUUAUUAUAUCAUAUGUAUCUCUUCCAUUAUAAGAAAAAGAAAGGGUACCGAUACCCACAUAUAAGAAAGAAUGUCGGCACCCACUAAACAUAUAGUAUUCAAUUAGAAUCCAGAUUAGGUAGUCCUGGCCAAGCAGACAAGUAACGACUUAUAUAGGCUUGGCGCUCUCUACUCAACUCUUAAGUAAGAAUGGCCAAAGAGCCAAGGAACGGAUAGACAAGCAACGGUACAAGCAAUUACGUAUUUUGAUUAGUUAUGAACAAGUCCCUUUUUUGGCCCCAACUCUAUCCUCUUGAUAAGCCUUAUUGUCUCCCGUGCCCACCUCAGUAGCGGUAAAGAGGUCUUUCUUCUUAAUCUUAUAAGAAAGAGGAAAUAAGAAACUAGAUGCUUAGGAGUUAAAGAAGCAGUUCGCAAGCCAUAUCGCAUAGGAAGAAAGCUGCAUGCCAAGAAGUGAAGCCGACCACCUCCCUUCGCACCAAAAGUGUUUCACUUAUGAACCGCCCCAACAAAUAAGGAUGAAACUUGGGAUUCCACAAUAAAUACUGAAUUAAGGAGCAGCUACGGGUAGCGGUAAGUAAACUCCAUUCUGAUUGUCUCCCUCGACAGCCUCCGCUUACCUAGCUUGCCCAGGGCUUGUCUACCUAUCUGCUUUCCUUGCCUUUGUAGCAAUCAAAUUCGUAUAGGAGCCGAUCCUUCUCCCUGUUACUGUUCUUGUUUAAUACCGAGUGAAAUCCAUGUACCAUAUAAUUGAUUCACUUUCCUUGUAGUAGAGUUCGGGAUACACCUAUUUGUUCUGUUCUUAAAGGCAGCAGUAAGGAGUUAUUGUUUGUGGAGUUCGCAAGUAAGUGACAGUUCCGCUCGAAAGAUAACUGUUUGAAGCUAAAGACUGUAUAGGCCCAACAAGUCGUGCUAAUGCAAGUUUCCCACGAGGCGAGAGAUUCUACUGUUUGACAAGGCGCUAACAGAGUUUCUACACGUAAGGAGGUAGCUGUGACAUAGCUUGUUUCAGAAUCCAUCUUCGUUUUCAGAGCAGGACAGGACAGGAUCGGGGAAGCUAAGCGCAAGACGUAUUAGCAAAAGGGCGUUGAAGCGGGGUCUGGUCUACUUAAGUUUCUUGUUCCGUUGCAUGUUAGCGAGUUAAUCAAGCCUUUUCCACAGUGCUAUUCGAGUCUCUUUGGCUUGCUCCUGCGCACAAGGUAAUAAUCAAUCAUUGACUUUAGUCUAGAGGCAAAUAACUCUGUAAGCCGAAAACAGUCAUGGAACUUGCCCGAACCUUUCUCUCUGUAAUAACGGAACUAGAUUCUUACUUGAACCCGACAGCGCUUGCAUCUGUACCGCCGCAAUACAAUCACCUCUCGAGUCUACUUUCCUGGAACUUAUUAUUAUGUUGAAACAGCAGCCUCUCCAGGUAAGGAAGCAAGCAAAGGGUAGUAGACCUAAAGUGCUUGUAUAGGUUGGUGCGCUAACGCGAGUUACGAAAGGAAAGGGGAAGUCAAGACAAGAGCAGAGCCAGCAGUCAGCUGGUUGUUUACUCCAUUCUCUAUUAGUGGGAACACAAGUGAGAUUCUCGUUCCCGCUCAAGUAAACUUAGCACCACUGCUUGCUUAUUAUUAAUGUAGUAUAUAGGACUCGUAUCAAGACUCAGUGCUCAAGGGAUAGUUGAGUUUCUCGAUGGUCAGUGAAAUUGUCAGCAGAAAAAGCAAUGAAUGGCUUUCGAACAGGCAAGAGUCAGCUGUGUUGUUACCGCUCCGUGGGCUAUCCGAACUCCCUUAACUUACAAAGGACAGAAACCAUUAGUAUACCAUUAGAGUUAAGUUUAAGCCAUCUUAAACCUUAGAGAAGCUGACCUAUGUUGCCACAACAAGAGCUCUUCUAACGCAUUGUUUACCUAAUAAUAGAAACCAAACCCUCUCUCUUGCUAAUACAGAUCUUGCGAACUCACUAACAAAUAGUCACUCGCGUAAGCCGAAAUGGGUACUUACGUCUUGCUCCCGAAAACACACGAUACUUGCUAACUUCUUAAUUGCGAGUAAAGACACAGCAACUACUUGUUCCUUCUGCCUUCGCAGCCGUGAUGACGCGGUUCUAAACAUUUCUACUGGAUCUCUUAUUUGCCUCCCGGAAUGCUAGUAUCAAAAAAAGACGAGUGCCUGACUUCGAGCCCAUAGAUCCAAAUCCAGAAGAAGCAUAUGAAUCUCGAGCUGCUUUUCAUUUCUAUCUUAUAUCGCGUGACAACUCCUCCUCCCCUUAUUUGUGAUUACUCCCUUGCCUUAAUAGAAAUUGGCUUCAUCAAUCAAGCCUUAUCCACUUACUGUCAUUCAUUGACUAAUAGCUUCCUCAGAGUCGGUUGGGGAGCUUCCUCAGAGUCGGUUGGGAAGGCGCUUAACCACAUCUUUUCCUACAUUCUUAAGUAGAGCAGAGCAGUAGAGUGGAAAGAUGCUCAUUAAGAGUAGAAAGAUGCUCAUGUUGUAUAUGUUGAGUAAUUUGAUUGAAAUCUAUUUCAUGUUGCCUUAGAUUAUAUUAUGACUUUAAUAAACACUGGCUCAGCUCACUACUGGAAAUAUCUAUCCAUAUAGAAAUUGAGAUCAUAAUGAGAAAGCAUUGGUAGGGUACUGCCUUGUCCGGAAUAGCAGGCCUGAUUGGAAUAACUCACGGAUUGGCUUGCCCUCCCGCACCGACCGACCUUAGUGGACAGACAAGAGAAAGAAUCCUGACUUAAUUAAUUACUGCAUCGCUUCUUAUGUAAUGGCAUUAAUAAGCUUGCAUUCCCUAUACAACUAAUGUAUAGUAUGGACAGAAAAGUGCCGACAUCAAUCUUCUAUUCAAGUCAAGUGCUAACGGAGCUUUGUAAGGAAGCAAUGGCCGUGUUUUUACACUCCAUUCUAUAUGGGAUAGCUAGCUCCCCUUCCAUUCUGUUCAUCAAAGUAAUCAAAGAAUAUUAGUAACAUAUAUAUAUUAGAAUAUGCAUCUUGAUUAUGGACUUGAUUCCGGAGUUUGUUGACUUUAUUCUUGAGUUGAUUCAGAAGUGUGUUUAGUUAUUCAUAUGAUUAAGGAGUUAGUUUACAUGGUUCUAUCUUAGGUGGAGAGUGAGUGAGUUGACUCUAUUCUAUCAGAUUGGACUUCUGAAACCAAUCCGUAGUUCACAGUCCGCAUUAACACUUGGGCUGAUAUCAUCAACCGUGCUAACCUUGGUAUGGAAGUAAUGCAUGAACGUAAUGCUCACAACUUCCCUCUAGACCUAACCUAGCUGACACCCACCUUCGUCCCUUCCAGCUUUGUAUCUCCCCCAUUGAGUCGUGCAAUAACAAUAAGGUCUCACAGGGAUUGGGACAAUAAUACAAAUUCCUGCACUGAUAAGGUGAGAAAGAAGACCAGAUUAGCCCUUAGGUCACUGAUACUAUAUCCCUGUCCUCAUACUAUCUUCUUCUCAGUUAGUUUGAGUUUCCGGUCUUUGCCUUAUCUCUCCGUAGCGUAAGAAAGGAUCUUAUUGUUUACCAUCCCUCCUUCCUGUUCAUCUACCUGCACAGGGUUAGUGCUAUUAUUGCAGCAGAUUCGCCAGUCGAAAAUCAUCCCCUUAUUUCUAUGUUGGUGGGUAGUGAGCUAUUGAUGUGGAUGGGCUUGAUGAGGAAUUCGAUGCCUGACCUCUGCCUGGUACCCAAAAAGCCUAUGCUUCUUCUACUCAUGUUCUACUACUUAUGACUCAUGUUCUACAACUUAUGUUAGUUAUGAAACUAUUGGAAGCUGUUAGUUAUGAAACUCUUUUAUGCUGCUACUAGUGCCACCGGCGUCGGGUAAACUUCUUCUACUCAUGUUCUACAACUUAUGUUAGUUAUGAAACUAUUGGAAGCUGCUACUAUAACUAUAACCGGUAGUAUUGUGCCCCCCAUCGCUGAUGUUGGUGCUGGGUCUUAAUCACGAACACGCAGUUUCAAUCUGGAUUAGUUGUGACGGCACAUCGAUUUCUCAAUCAACCCAAGCUUCCUUAUACUCAUAUUAUUGCAACUUACAGAAAACAUUUUUGAGAACCCGAAAGUCCAAACCAAGUUGUUCGAAUCUCCUAGAAAAUCUAUGCAUACCUUGUUCCCUACAUUUCCCCCGCUAACCGGUACUACAUUCGCAAACCAAUCCGGAUGAUGCAUGGGGGGCCUGUCUCGGUCUCAUUGAAAGGUGAAGUGCAAGCAAGCAAGUCAAGCCAAGCAGUACUAGAUAGAGUGUGGUGAUUCUUUAUUCUAUUGAGGUGUCUAUAUGAUCAUCUUAUGGAGAAAGGUCGGAUUCAAGAAGUCAAAGUAAACCAACGGGCGACAAUUAGAAGAGAGUAGAAGCUGGUGCAGGCGGUGCGAAGUACUCUUUCUUUUCGGAAUUCAUGGCUAGACCCUGUGCUUACCUAGAAAGUGGUAUGUAAGUAAGUCCACCUACGGCCAGGUUGUCCACCGGAUUAAGUCUGCUAAGAUGAACUCGGAUUUUGCUCCUUGCCUUCUUUAGGCCUCUUGAUUGCCUACGAAAGAGAAAUAGGGACAUCCUUUAUUGUUAAGAGCACCACUAGGAGUUCACCUGAUUCCUUUCUUACAGUGCAGGAGUGACCAUACUAGACAAGCAAAGUGUGACAAGCCGAAAUGAACAAGUAAUAAAACCAGUAGAGCAACAAACAGUAACAAAUCCUCUGUGCUAAGGGAGUAGGAGAACCUAUGUGCUAAGCAAGAAACCCGAGUUAAGGGAGUUCAGUGCAAAGGAGUUAAUAAAACCCAUCCUUUCAUUAAUGUUAACUAAUAAAUGGUUAUCCAUCAUUUUAUAUCCCUUCCCUAUUCUAAUCCGAUCCUGUUUUCGUCAACUAGAACGGAGACUGGCUAUUCAUUCUCGUCUACAAUACCACCGAGCUGGCUACUUCUCGUCUACAAUAUCACCGAGCUGGCUACUUCUCGUCUACAAUACCACCGAGCUGGCUACUUCACCUCUUAUUCUUGAUCGGACUAACGCUAUACACGAACAAAGGAACAAAAUACAGGUUACGAAGAAAGGACUGGAAAGAUGGGCGCGGGUAUACACUCUAAAUGAACUCCGUUAUUGCUACCGCUCUUUUAGCUCGCUACCGCCCAGUGUUUAACUCGCUAGUUGGAUUCUGUCUGGGUGAAGGGGCUAUCUGAUUCUUGGCCUACUUAGGGACAUUCUGAUCUUGUGGAUUAAGGCCUCAGGCUUGUUGGUACUGGUUGAAGGCUGGGCGGAUCUAGUUGAAGAGUAAGUGGCACUGGCUUGGUUCUGAGUACCUAACAGCACCAGGCUUAGUAUACCUAGCUCGGGUUGAAGUCUUUAACUACCUUGUUUCAGGCUGAGUCAUAUGAGUGGAAUUCUGAGUCUACCUCCAAAGCCUUCUACUUACUGGGCUGGGCGCAUUCUUGGACGAGUGAGUUGGAUUCUAAGAUUGACUGGUGGAAUUCUUAGCUUCUGGCUAGCUCCCCUCUUAGGGACAUUCUGUAAUUCCUUAUUGGCUCGGUGUUGCCUUAUAUACGAGUAGCAAUUCCAAUUCUGAAAUAACUUAUAUACGAGUAGCAAUUCCAAUUCCGAAAUAAGAUAUGAUAGGCCAAGCCGACUUCUCCUCUUACAACUAAUACUUCCUCUCCUCUGUAAACUAACGACUACUGAGUGCAAUUCUCACUUAAGAACUAUCACUGGGGAUUCCACUUCACCAAAACACGGGAAAAAGGUAGCAAACGGAUAAAGUGGUUGACUCUACAACUUACUAUAAGGGCUCUGGACUAGAGCAUAGCAUCUCUUCUACCUAUGGCAACAGUCAACUUCAUUGGUUCCCUUUCCACUCCCCUUAUAUAAAGCACCGACACAGUGUUCAAAACAUUCCAAUCGAAAUUCACUCUUAUUAUAUUAUUCUUAUCUUAUAUACGAUAUACGAAAAUAUACGAUGAUAUACGAAAACAAUAUUCUACGAAAACAUUCUUUUUUAUCUGACUUAUAUUAUACGAAAACAUUCUAUCUUUAUUAUACGAAACCGUUUACUCGUACUCAAAGAUAUUAUCACCCCCUAUGCCCUAACCUAAAAAAGGCACCCACAUCUAUUAUACCUCUUCAGGCGAGGCGCUCCGACCCCGCGCACUGCAUCGAUUCUCUAUCAGCCAAGCGAAAACUAGACACACCUAUAGCACCGAACUACUAGAGCAUAGCACCGGCACCAUUAACUAGAGCACCGAACUAUCACUUUUCGGACCUCUCUUAUCUUUCCUUCCCACGCCAACACACCCUACCUGGCUUUCUCACCAGGGCAGCUAUUGUCCAUCAGAAGUUUUCCUAUAUCACAAGAGAAGAUAGAAUUUCGGAUGAGACUCAGGCUAGGUAGCGAGCUAGAGGAACGGCA
rnacentral:lncRNA from 1 species